AAAUCUUAAGAACAAAACAUAGGGUCCUCUAUUCCGCUAUCAGAGAAGCUAAAAAUCACUAUCAAACAUAGUUCUUAUUCCCAGUUCCUCCUACCAUUCGCUGUCCCAGGUAGAUUCACCAAAUAAUGCUUCCCGUCCACCAUUUUCACAUUGAUUCAAUACAAAUAUGGAAAAUCAAAAAAUAAAGAAGCCAAAUUAAAGUUCAAACCUUUGCCCACUUAUGCACAAUUCAUACUAAAUUCCGUACAAUUAUAGACGAUAAAUUCAACAAAAAUCUAAUGAAAAUCAGCAAUGCAACCCACUUAAACACAUUACAUAUAUGCAUAGAAUCCAAGAGACUUAGAGAAUAGUAAUCAAAGCAGAGAAAAGAACCUCGGCUCAUGAGGUACCAGGGG
rnacentral:misc_RNA from 1 species